UACGAAGGGGGCUAGCGUUGUUCGGAAUUACUGGGCGUAAAGGGCGUGUAGGCGGUUAGUUAAGUCUGGCGUGAAAGCUCUCGGCUAAACCGGGAGAGGUCGUUGGAUACUGGCUGACUAGAGGACGGUAGAGGCGUGUGGAAUUCCGGGUGUAGUGGUGAAAUGCGUAGAGAUCCGGAGGAACACCAGUGGCGAAGGCGACACGCUGGGCCGUACCUGACGCUAAAGCGCGACAGCAUGGGGAGCAAACGGG
rnacentral:rRNA from 1 species